rnacentral:rRNA from 1 species
AUGAACGCUGGCGGCGUGCCUAAUACAUGCAAGUCGAGCGAACGGACGAGAAGCUUGCUUCUCUGAUGUUAGCGGCGGACGGGUGAGUAACACGUGGAUAACCUACCUAUAAGACUGGGAUAACUUCGGGAAACCGGAGCUAAUACCGGAUGAUAUUUUGAACCGCAUGGUUCAGAAGUGAAAGACGGUCUUGCUGUCACUUAUAGAUGGAUCCGCGCUGCAUUAGCUAGUUGGUAAGGUAACGGCUUACCAAGGCAACGAUGCAUAGCCGACCUGAGAGGGUGAUCGGCCACACUGGAACUGAGACACGGUCCAGACUCCUACGGGAGGCAGCAGUAGGGAAUCUUCCGCAAUGGGCGAAAGCCUGACGGAGCAACGCCGCGUGAGUGAUGAAGGUCUUCGGAUCGUAAAACUCUGUUAUUAGGGAAGAACAUAUGUGUAAGUAACUGUGCACAUCUUGACGGUACCUAAUCAGAAAGCCACGGCUAACUACGUG